rnacentral:rRNA from 1 species
AUUGAACGCUGGCGGCAGGCCUAACACAUGCAAGUCGAACGAGUGGCGGACGGGUGAGUAAUGUCUGGGAAACUGCCUGAUGGAGGGGGAUAACUACUGGAAACGGUAGCUAAUACCGCAUCCCAUCGGAUGAGCCCAGAUGGGAUUAGCUAGUAGGUGGGGUAAAGGCUCACCUCGGAGACGAUCCCUAGCUGGUCUGAUAGGAUGACAAGCCACACUGGAAAGGAGACACGGUCCAGACUCAUACGGGAGGCAGCAGUGGGGAAGAGUGCACAAUGGGCGCAAGCCUGAUUCAGCCAUGCCGAGUGUGUGAAGAAGGCCUUCGGCUGGUAAAGCACAUUCAGCGGGGUGGCGUUACUAGAAGAAGAAGCACCGGCUAAUUCCGUGCCAGCAGCCGCGGUAAUUC